rnacentral:rRNA from 1 species
CGGGUGAGUAACGCGUGGAGAACCUGCCGUAUACUGGGGGAUAACACUUAGAAAUAGGUGCUAAUACCGCAUAAGCGCACAGCUUCGCAUGAAGCAGUGUGAAAAACUCCGGUGGUAUACGAUGGAUCCGCGUCUGAUUAGCUUGUUGGCGGGGUAAAGGCCCACCAAGGCGACGAUCAGUAGCGGCCUGAGAGGGUGAACGGCCACAUUGGGACUGAGACACGGCCCAAACUCCUACGGGAGGCAGCAG